AACGAACGCUGGCGGCAUGCCUAACACAUGCAAGUCGAACGAAGCGUCCCGGUCUUGUGGCGCACGGGUGCGUAACGCGUGGGAACCUGCCCUUAGGUUCGGAAUAACUCCCCGAAAGGGGUGCUAAUACCGGAUAAUGUCUUCGGACCAAAGAUUUAUCGCCUCUGGAUGGGCCCGCGUUGGAUUAGCUAGUUGGUAGGGUAAAAGCAUACCAAGGCGAGGAUCCAUAGCUGGUCUGAGAGGAUGAUCAGCCACACUGGGACUGAGACACGGCCCAGACUCCUACGGGAGGCAGGAGAGGGGAAUAUUGGACAAUGGGCGAAAGCCUGAUACAGCAAUGCCGGGUGAGUGAUGAAGGCGUUAGGGUUCUAAUGCUCUUUUAGCCGGGAUGAUAGUGACAGUACCGGGAGAAUAAGCACCGGCUAACUACGUG
rnacentral:rRNA from 1 species